UCAUUUUUAUAUCCUAAACUCACGAAGGUUUAAAUCGGGUCUCUAAAAAGAUAAAAAUCCCGUCCUAAUAAGCUAAGCUCAGCGGGAGCGAGAGGCCUCACCACACUAAUAUAAAAGACUAAACUCAUGUUAAUUAUCCCUCACCUCUCUUUCUCUCCCGUAUUUUUCCCAAAAUGAAACCUUAUCCUCUGUAUAUGUUUUUUAAUUUGAAAGCAUGUAAAAUUCUUAAAAAUCAACUCUUCCAAAUAUCUCUCCCAAAGGCUGAAGACUCACAAAUCGGCGCCCGUGAUGACGAGUUGUCAAUCUGUACAUGGUUUGAAGAGAUGAGCUUACAAGUCAAGAUGCAAGUUUUGAAGACUUCAUAGCUCGAGAAUUUGUUAUCAUUUUGCUAGGAUUGUUAGGGGAAAAAAAAUUUAUAUUUUUGCUAAGAGGGUUGUUGUAAACAGUACCAUGACAUAUGCAUUAUGGUUAUAUAUAUAGCGUGAUGUACAUUUUUUGUGAUUAAUUACCAAAUUUAUACAUGUAUAUGCUUAGUUGUAUAAGAAAAGUGAUCUAUUGAUCUCUUCUUUAUGUG